UGUUUGAUGUUCUAACGUGGACCCGUAAUCCGGGUUGCGGACAGUGUCUGGUGGGUAGUUUGACUGGGGCGGUCUCCUCCUAAAGAGUAACGGAGGAGCACGAAGGUUGGCUAAUCCUGGUCGGACAUCAGGAGGUUAGUGCAAUGGCAUAAGCCAGCUUGACUGCGAGCGUGACGGCGCGAGCAGGUGCGAAAGCAGGUCAUAGUGAUCCGGUGGUUCUGAAUGGAAGGGCCAUCGCUCAACGGAUAAAAGGUACUCCGGGGAUAACAGGCUGAUACCGCCCAAGAGUUCAUAUCGACGGCGGUGUUUGGCACCUCGAUGUCGGCUCAUCACAUCCUGGGGCUGAAGUAGGUCCCAAGGGUAUGGCUGUUCGCCAUUUAAAGUGGUACGCGAGCUGGGUUUAGAACGUCGUGAGACAGUUCGGUCCCUAUCUGCCGUGGGCGCUGGAGAACUGAGGGGGGCUGCUCCUAGUACGAGAGGACCGGAGUGGACGCAUCACUGGUGUUCGGGUUGUCAUGCC
rnacentral:rRNA from 1 species